UCGGGAAUUUUGCCCAAUGGACGAAAGUCUGAGGCAGCAACUCCGCGUGAGGGACGAAGGCCUUCGGGUCGUAAACCUCUUUUCUCAGGGAAGAUCCAAGACGGUACCUGAGGAAUAAGCCACGGCUAACUACGUGCCAGCAGCCGCGGUAAUACGUAGGUGGCGAGCGUUGUCCGGAAUUACUGGGCGUAAAGAGCGCGCAGGCGGCUGGUCAAGUCCGAUGUGAAAGCUCCCGGCUCAACUGGGAAAUUGCAUCGGAAACUGAUCGGCUUGAAGGUGGGAGAGGGUAGUGGAAUUCCCGGUGUAGUGGUGAAAUGCGUAGAUAUCGGGAGGAACACCAGUGGCGAAGGCGACUACCUGGCCCACUCUUGACGCUGAGGCGCGAAAGCUAGGGGAGCGAA
rnacentral:rRNA from 1 species